rnacentral:lncRNA from 1 species
AGGCAAUGACCCAGUUUCGUUUUUGGGUCGAAAUGUCACCAUAAAUCCAAAAGACGCCGCUUUUUCUUGGAGACAGGUAGCAAAGGGAGAAUGUGGUACUACGUUAUCCAAGAGAGGAACAAAACUGCACUAAAACACAACACAAAGAAAACAAAUUUUAAUCAGUUGAACCAUAAGAUAAUCGAUGAAAGACUAACAAAGGUUAAACGGUAACCAUAAAAAACCACGCACCUGGUAUGCUCUGCCGCAAAGGAGAAAAAGGAGAGGAGGAACAUGAUGAUGUUAUCAGAAACAAUAAUGCAAUGCCGCAAGAGACAAAAAGAAGAGGUGGCGGAAGAGAAAUAGGAGAAGAGGAAGACGAUAUCAGAAACUGCAAUGCCGCGAAGAGUCUGGGGUUUAUUUAAAAUGAAAUGGGGCGUCGGUUGCUUCAGAAACCGACGUCUAUAGUCACCUAGACGUCGGUUAUCGAACUAAUUCGACGACCAAGUUAACAUAUAAACUGACUUUUUGAAUGCCCAUUAGACGUCGCUGCAAAGGAGAGCCGACGUCUAGGAAGCUGAACCGAUUGACGUUCCAUUUCCUGUCAGGGAUGUUGACGAUAGUUGUGAAGGGGCGCCGUCGUCUAUAAUAAUUUAGACGUCGGUGCCCUUCUGCCGGACGUCCAAGUUUGGUGAACAUAAUUAAUUACAGGCACAUAGACGUCUCGCCCCUUAAACACCAACGUCUAAAUUUUACAAAUUUUUGUCUUCCCGCCUUCCGGACAGGACUUAGACGUCGCUUUUUAACUACAUGACGUCUAAGCGCCUGGGAAUUAGGAGAAGAGCAUUAAUUGCAACCCCGUAGACGUUGGCCCCCCAUUAAAACCGACGUCAAUAGAUUGUCUUCUCGCCUACCUCAGGCCAUUAGACGUCAGUGUAGGGCAGAGCAGAUGUCUACAAUCUCAUAGACGUCGCCUUCCCUUGAAACCGACGUCUAGGUUACCUACUUAUUUACGGUAAUGCCACCGUCCACUCAUAUACGUUGGGCUCCCCUCG